rfam:Schistosoma haematobium scaffold1295_19, whole genome shotgun sequence.
AUCGAGCUGACGAGUCCCAAAUAGGACGAAAUGCGCGUCCUGAAU